GAUGAACGCUGGCGGCGUGCCUAAUACAUGCAAGUCGAGCGAACUGAUUAGAAGCUUGCUUCUAUGACGUUAGCGGCGGACGGGGGAGUAACACGUGGGCAACCUGACUGUAAGACUGGGAUAACUUCGUGAAACCGCAGAUAAUACCGGAUAGGAACUUCGGCUUCAUGGGAGAUGAUUGACAGAUGGUUUAGGCUAUCACUUGCAGAUGGGGUCGCGGUGCAUUAGCUGGUUGGUGAGGUAACGGCUCACCAAGGCAACGAUGCAGAGCCGACCUGAGAGGGUGAUCGGCCACACUGGGACUGAGACACGGCCCAGACUCCUACGGGAGGCAGAAGUAGGGAAUCUUCCGCAAUGGACGAAAGUCUGACGGAGCAACGCCGCGUGAGUGAUGAAGGCUUUCGGGUCGUAAAACUCUGUUGUUAGGGAAGAACAAGUACAAGAGUAACUGCUCGUACCUUGACGGUACCUAACCAGAAAGCCACGGCUAACUACGUGCCAGCCGCCGCAGUAAGAC
rnacentral:rRNA from 1 species